GCCUACGGCCAUACCAGCCUGGGUACGCCCGAUCUCGUCUGAUCUCGGAAGCUAAGCAGGGUCGGGCCUGGUUAGUACUUGAUGGGAGACCGCCUGGGAAUACCAGGUGCUGUAAGCA
rnacentral:rRNA from 1 species